UCUUCGUCUUCUUCUUCUUCUUCUUCUUCUUCUUCAUCAGUAAAUGUGAUCUCAGUUGGUGCAGAAGCCAAUUAACAACCAAGUCCUUUUCUUCUUCUUCUUCUUCUUCUUCUUCUUCUUCUUCUUCUUCUACUACUGUUUUCUCUUUUCUCUUUUCUUUGGUGUACUUGCAGAAAAGAUUUAGUACAAUAAUCUUCUGGAGUGGGGCUUUAUUUCA